rnacentral:rRNA from 1 species
UACGUAGGGGUCGAGCGUUGUCCGGAGUUACUGGGCGUAAAGCGCGUGCAGGUGGCUCAUUACGCCCGGCGUGAAAGCCCCCGGCUCAACCGGGGAGGGUCGUCGGGGACGGGUGAGCUUGAGGGUAGCAGGGGCUGGUAGAAUUCCCGGGUGUAGUGGUGAAAUGCGUAGAGAUCGGGAGGAAUACCCGUGGGACGAGGCGGCAGCUGGGCUACACCUGACACUGAGACGCGAAGGCGUGGGGAGCGAACGGG